AACGAACGCUGGCGGCAUGCCUAACACAUGCAAGUCGAACGAGAUCUUCGGGUCUAGUGGCGCACGGGUGCGUAACGCGUGGGAAUCUGCCCUUUGGUUCGGAAUAACAGUUGGAAACGACUGCUAAUACCGGAUGAUGACGAAAGUCCAAAGAUUUAUCGCCAGAGGAUGAGCCCGCGUAGGAUUAGCUAGUUGGUGUGGUAAAGGCGCACCAAGGCGACGAUCCUUAGCUGGUCUGAGAGGAUGAUCCGCCACACUGGGACUGGGAAACGGCCCAGACUCCUACGGGAGGCAGCAGUGGGGAAUAUUGGACAAUGGGCGAAAGCCUGAUCCAGCAAUGCCGCGUGAGUGAUGAAGGCCUUAGGGUUGUAAAGCUCUUUUACCCGGGAUGAUAAUGACAGUACCGGGAGAAUAAGCUCCGGCUAACUCCGUGCCAGCCGCCGCGGUAA
rnacentral:rRNA from 1 species